GAAAUUCAGCUAGUCCUGUCUCUCACUAACACUUUCUUCUUAAUUUCUGUCUUGCAAGAAAAUCAAAGCCAAUUUGAAUUCAUGUGUGAUGGACUCCAGUAUUUAUUUACUGUGCUUUCUUAAGCAUAUUUAAUUUUUUUCUGCUUAUUUCUACAACCUGGUGAGAUGAGACUUAAGUUUUAUUCAGGUUUUAUCUAUUACACAGGGUGCAUUCUUAGGUAGUAAGUAGGAAGUGUUGCUUCCCAAAACAGUGGACUUUGUUCAAUAGCAGAGAUGUGGAAAAUACAUAACUUUUAAACUAAUAAAUGCCCUUUUAACAAAGGUGUCUAUA